GAUGAACGCUGGCGGCGUGCCUAAUACAUGCAAGUCGAGCGAACGGACGAGAAGCUUGCUUCUCUGAUGUUAGCGGCGGACGGGUGAGUAACACGUGGAUAACCUACCUAUAAGACUGGGAUAACUUCGGGAAACCGGAGCUAAUACCGGAUAAUAUUUUGAACCGCAUGGUUCAAAAGUGAAAGACGGUCUUGCUGUCACUUAUAGAUGGAUCCGCGCUGCAUUAGCCAGUUGGUAAGGCAACGGCUUACCAAGGCAACGAUGCAUAGCCGACCUGAGAGGGUGAUCGGCCACACUGGAACUGAGACACGGUCCAGACUCCUACGGGAGGCAGCAGUAGGGAAUCUUCCGCAAUGGGCGAAAGCCUGACGGAGCAACGCCGCGUGAGUGAUGAAGGUCUUCGGAUCGUAAAACUCUGUUAUUAGGGAAGAACAUAUGUGUAAGUAACUGUGCACAUCUUGACGGUACCUAAUCAGAAAGCCACGGCUAACUACGUGCCAGCAGCCGCGGUAAUACGUAGGUGGCAAGCGUUAUCCGGAAUUAUUGGGCGUAAAGCGCGCGUAGGCGGUUUUUUAAGUCUGAUGUGAAAGCCCACGGCUCAACCGUGGAGGGUCAUUGGAAACUGGAAAACUUGAGUGCAGAAGAGGAAAGUGGAAUUCCAUGUGUAGCGGUGAAAUGCGCAGAGAUAUGGAGGAACACCAGUGGCGAAGGCGACUUUCUGGUCUGUAACUGACGCUGAUGUGCGAAAGCGUGGGGAUCAAACAGGAUUAGAUACCCUGGUAGUCCACGCCGUAAACGAUGAGUGCUAAGUGUUAGGGGGUUUCCGCCCCUUAGUGCUGCAGCUAACGCAUUAAGCACUCCGCCUGGGGAGUACGACCGCAAGGUUGAAACUCAAAGGAAUUGACGGGGACCCGCACAAGCGGUGGAGCAUGUGGUUUAAUUCGAAGCAACGCGAAGAACCUUACCAAAUCUUGACAUCCUUCGACAACUCUAGAGAUAGAGCCUUCCCCUUCGGGGGACAAAGUGACAGGUGGUGCAUGGUUGUCGUCAGCUCGUGUCGUGAGAUGUUGGGUUAAGUCCCGCAACGAGCGCAACCCUUAAGCUUAGUUGCCAUCAUUAAGUUGGGCACUCUAAGUUGACUGCCGGUGACAAACCGGAGGAAGGUGGGGAUGACGUCAAAUCAUCAUGCCCCUUAUGAUUUGGGCUACACACAUGCUACAAUGGACAAUACAAAGGGCAGCGAAACCGCGAGGUCAAGCAAAUCCCAUAAAGUUGUUCUCAGUUCGGAUUGUAGUCUGCAACUCGACUACAUGAAGCUGGAAUCGCUAGUAAUCGUAGAUCAGCAUGCUACGGUGAAUACGUUCCCGGGUCU
rnacentral:rRNA from 1 species